rnacentral:rRNA from 1 species
GAAUAUUCAUCAUGUAUGCUUUUCUAAUUAUAAGGGGGUGGGGGAUGAAGAGGAAACUUUUCGAGCCACACACCGGAAUUUACUUUGAGGAAAUUAAAGUGUUCAUAGCAAAUAAGUGUUUGAAUACUACAGCAUGGAAUAACAAAUAGGACUUUGGUAUGUUUUGUUGAGUAGAGAAACCAAAGUAAAGAUGAAUAGGGACAGUUGGGGGCAUUGGAAUUUGAUAGUCAGAGGUGAAAUUCAUGGAUUUAUCAAAGACCAACAAAGGCGAAAGCAUUUGCCAAGGAUGUUUUCAUUGAUCAAGAACGAAAGUCAGGGGAUCGAAGACGAUUAGAUACCGUCGUAGUCUUGACCGUAAACGAUGCCGACUUGGGGGAGGUGCGAGAUGAGAAGCGGAUCUCAACCAAAGGAGAAAUCAAAGUGUAUGGGUUCUGGGGGGAGUAUAGUCGCAAGGCCGAAACUUGAAGGAAUUGACGGAAGGGCACCACCAGGAGUGGAGCCUGCGGCUUAAUUUGACUCAACACGGGAAAACUUACCAGGUCCGGACAUGAUGAGGAUUGACAGAUUGAGAGCACUUUUAAGAUUUCAUGGGAGGUGGUGCAUGGCCGUUCUUAGUUGGUGGAGUGAUUUGUCAGGUUAAUUCCGAUAACGAGCGAGACCCUGUGAUGACGGUAAUGAUUGAGUAUGUAAAUACGCGAGACGUUUCUUCAUCGACACCCCA